rnacentral:tRNA from 1 species
UCCCUUGUGGUCCAGUGGUUUAGACUUGGUGCUUUCAAUGCCAGGGCCUGGGUUCGAUUCCUAGUCAGGAAA